GCCUUCAUGGAAUGUCUUCAAAGAAUAUUAAAAAAUCUGGAGGGACUCCAACUUCAAUGGUACCCAUUCCUGGCCCAGUGGGUAACAAGAGAAUGGUUCAUUUUUCCCCAGAUUCUCAUCACCAUGACCAUUGGUUUAGCCCUGGGGCUAGGACAGAGCAUGACCAGGUAAGGACCAUUGUAAUCCAAAAGGAAGUUACUUAGCCUCUUUCAAAUAUCUAACUGUCUCCCUUCAAGAGAGUAGAUCAGCUUUAUGAGAAAAAAUACAAAUCCCCGCUCAUUUUAAAAGGUGUUAACUAUGUCAACGGUUAAUACACUGACCAAAUAAAUGCAUGAUCCUUAA
rnacentral:sRNA from 1 species